UCGGAAACCGGCGCCACCGUCCAAGCGGCUGCCUACAAGGAGGCAUAGCUCAUGCAGCAGAAUGCCUGUCCUCCAUGCAGCAAAGCCUGGAUUCAAAGCCUACCACACCAUAAUUCAAGUAUAGUGGAACAUGCCUUAAAUCCUAACACCUGGGACACAAGCUGAAGAAUCAGUAGUCGGUUAUCUCCAAGAACUCAAGCAUAUGGCCCUACUGCUGAAGACAAUAUGUACUUUAGACAAUGGACUUGGAUAAAUGGAGUUGUAGCUGGGCAAUGACACUCUGUUCGAAAGCAUAUCUCUGUGACUUGACCAUGUAAAAUAUUUGAAUGACAGUCAUUUUACACUGGUAUUCACAAAAACAAUUUUUCUGGUAACUUAUUAUUGUAAUGCAAUUUAAACAUAGUCAAUGAUCAUAUAUAGCACAAAAAGGAAUUUAUGUCUCCACUAAAAACUCUAAAGUCAACAAAAAUGUCAAAGUGGAAAAGAGGAAAGACAAACAAUCACAAGAAGGAGAUCUAGAAACCAACUUGCAGUGCAUAGUUAUCUGUGUACUGAGAAAAUUAACCUGUGCUUCAGAAAUGUUCGGCUUGGAAAUCCUGCUAAGUAACAGAAGAAACAUAGGGGCUGCAAUUUAUAACUAGGUAUAUAUCCAUUAAAAGACAAAACUAGAAAAUAUAGGUCUACUGUUCCAAAUGAAUCUGAUACAAAGAAGAUGGGCCAUACUGGGUUGUAUCGAGAAGAAAAGUCUUAUUCUCUGUUGGGAUAAUCUGACAAGAACUGAGAGACAAGGAAGAACAUUGCAGAACACUGAGUGGAAAGACUGAGUCAAAGAAAUGUUUCAGUUCAAUCUUGAAGCAACUUGUUUCCAAAUUUUACAUGGAGACUGAGUGGCCUAGUCACAUCCUCUUUACUCAUCCCCUAGAUUCAGUCAUCCUAAAUUUUUGAAGAACUUCCUGUUCCUGACAGUGGAGUAUGUGAGACAACUACUAUGUCUGAGGUGUCUUCAUCUAGGAAAACAGCAAACAGAAGUUGUCUCUUUCCAUGGGGAAGUGAGGCAGGUGGUGGAAGCUACUGUAGCAUAAUGGAAUGGCCUAACUUAUCUGAUCAUAUUAAAAGUUUGCAUUUACA